GCCUGGAGAGCUCAGUUGGUUAGAGCAUGGUGCUGAUAAUGCCAAGGUUGCAGGUUCAAUCCCCAUAUGGGACA